AAAUCCGUCGAAUUUUGAAAUCGUGA
rnacentral:tRNA from 1 species